rnacentral:rRNA from 1 species
UUAAGCGACUAAGCGUACACGGUGGAUGCCCUGGCAGUCAGAGGCGAUGAAGGACGUGCUAAUCUGCGAAAAGCGUCGGUAAGGUGAUAUGAACCGUUAUAACCGGCGAUGUCCGAAUGGGGAAACCCAGUGCAAUUCGUUGCACUAUCGUUAACUGAAUACAUAGGUUAACGAGGCGAACCGGGGGAACUGAAACAUCUAAGUACCCCGAGGAAAAGAAAUCAACCGAGAUUCCCCCAGUAGCGGCGAGCGAACGGGGAGCAGCCCAGAGUCUGAAUCAGCUUGUGUGUUAGUGGAACGGUCUGGAAAGUCCGACGGUACAGGGUGAUAGUCCCGUACACCAAAAUGCACAGGCUGUGAACUCGAAGAGUAGGGCGGGACACGUGGUAUCCUGUCUGAAUAUGGGGGACCAUCCUCCAAGGCUAAAUACUCCUGACUGACCGAUAGUGAACCAGUACCGUGAGGGAAAGGCGAAAAGAACCCCGGCGAGGGGAGUGAAAAAGAACCUGAAACCGUGUACGUACAAGCAGUGGGAGCACCUUCGGGUGUGACUGCGUACCUUUUGUAUAAUGGGUCAGCGACUUAUAUUCUGUAGCAAGGUUAACCGUAUAGGGGAGCCGCAGGGAAACCGAGUCUUAACUGGGCGUUAAGUUGCAGGGUAUAGACCCGAAACCCGGUGAUCUAGCCAUGGGCAGGUUGAAGGUUGGGUAACACUAACUGGAGGACCGAACCGACUAAUGUUGAAAAAUUAGCGGAUGACUUGUGGCUGGGGGUGAAAGGCCAAUCAAACCGGGAGAUAGCUGGUUCUCCCCGAAAGCUAUUUAGGUAGCGCCUCGUGAAUUCAUCUUCGGGGGUAGAGCACUGUUUCGGCUAGGGGGUCAUCCCGACUUACCAACCCGAUGCAAACUACGAAUACCGAAGAAUGUUAUCACGGGAGACACACGGCGGGUGCUAACGUCCGUCGUGAAGAGGGAAACAACCCAGACCGCCAGCUAAGGUCCCAAAGUCAUGGUUAAGUGGGAAACGAUGUGGGAAGGCACAGACAGCCAGGAUGUUGGCUUAGAAGCAGCCAUCAUUUAAAGAAAGCGUAAUAGCUCACUGGUCGAGUCGGCCUGCGCGGAAGAUGUAACGGGGCUAAACCAUGCACCGAAGCUGCGGCAGCGACACUAUGUGUUGUUGGGUAGGGGAGCGUUCUGUAAGCCUGCGAAGGUGACCUGUGAGGGUUGCUGGAGGUAUCAGAAGUGCGAAUGCUGACAUAAGUAACGAUAAAGCGGGUGAAAAGCCCGCUCGCCGGAAGACCAAGGGUUCCUGUCCAACGUUAAUCGGGGCAGGGUGAGUCGACCCCUAAGGCGAGGCCGAAAGGCGUAGUCGAUGGGAAACAGGUUAAUAUUCCUGUACUUGGUGUUACUGCGAAGGGGGGACGGAGAAGGCUAUGUUAGCCGGGCGACGGUUGUCCCGGUUUAAGCAUGUAGGCUGAUUGUCCAGGCAAAUCCGGAUAAUCAAGGCUGAGGUGUGAUGACGAGGCACUACGGUGCUGAAGUAACAAAUGCCCUGCUUCCAGGAAAAGCCUCUAAGCAUCAGGUAACAUUAAAUCGUACCCCAAACCGACACAGGUGGUCAGGUAGAGAAUACCAAGGCGCUUGAGAGAACUCGGGUGAAGGAACUAGGCAAAAUGGUGCCGUAACUUCGGGAGAAGGCACGCUGGUGUGUAGGUGAAGUCCCUGCGGAUGGAGCUGAGACCAGUCGAAGAUACCAGCUGGCUGCAACUGUUUAUUAAAAACACAGCACUGUGCAAACACGAAAGUGGACGUAUACGGUGUGACGCCUGCCCGGUGCCGGAAGGUUAAUUGAUGGGGUUAUCCGUAAGGAGAAGCUCUUGAUCGAAGCCCCGGUAAACGGCGGCCGUAACUAUAACGGUCCUAAGGUAGCGAAAUUCCUUGUCGGGUAAGUUCCGACCUGCACGAAUGGCGUAAUGAUGGCCAGGCUGUCUCCACCCGAGACUCAGUGAAAUUGAACUCGCUGUGAAGAUGCAGUGUACCCGCGGCAAGACGGAAAGACCCCGUGAACCUUUACUAUAGCUUGACACUGAACAUUGAGCCUUGAUGUGUAGGAUAGGUGGGAGGCUUUGAAGCGUGGACGCCAGUCUGCGUGGAGCCAACCUUGAAAUACCACCCUUUAAUGUUUGAUGUUCUAACGUUGGCCCCUGACCGGGGUUGCGGACAGUGUCUGGUGGGUAGUUUGACUGGGGCGGUCUCCUCCCAAAGCGUAACGGAGGAGCACGAAGGUUAGCUAAUCCUGGUCGGACAUCAGGAGGUUAGUGCAAUGGCAUAAGCUAGCUUGACUGCGAGCGUGACGGCGCGAGCAGGUGCGAAAGCAGGUCAUAGUGAUCCGGUGGUUCUGAAUGGAAGGGCCAUCGCUCAACGGAUAAAAGGUACUCCGGGGAUAACAGGCUGAUACCGCCCAAGAGUUCAUAUCGACGGCGGUGUUUGGCACCUCGAUGUCGGCUCAUCACAUCCUGGGGCUGAAGUAGGUCCCAAGGGUAUGGCUGUUCGCCAUUUAAAGUGGUACGCGAGCUGGGUUUAGAACGUCGUGAGACAGUUCGGUCCCUAUCUGCCGUGGGCGCUGGAGAAUUGAGGGGGGCUGCUCCUAGUACGAGAGGACCGGAGUGGACGCAUCACUGGUGUUCGGGUUGUCAUGCCAAUGGCACUGCCCGGUAGCUAAAUGCGGAAGAGAUAAGUGCUGAAAGCAUCUAAGCACGAAACUUGCCCCGAGAUGAGUUCUCCCUGAGACUUUAAGUCUCCUGAAGGAACGUUGAAGACGACGACGUUGAUAGGCCGGGUGUGUAAGCGCAGCGAUGCGUUGAGCUAACCGGUACUAAUGAACCGUGAGGCUUAACCUU